UUGAAGUGAACUUGAAGUAGCUUAGGAAACAAGCUACCACUUUCUUAUGAGAUUAGGAAAGUCAUAUGUUAGAGUUAUCUAUAAAAGUAGUUUCCUAAUGAGUUUAGGAACUUAAGAUAUAUAUAUAAGAAUAUGCAAGAGUGUUGCAUAACUUGUGAGAGUUGAGAGCUUUAGUUUUUUGAGUUAUUUUCUAAAGCAUUGAGUGAUUAAUAAAGUGUGAACUUGAGAGUUUGAUUCAAUAGUUAUAAUUUUUUUAAAAUUUGGUGUUAUUCAAUAAAUGAUUAAAGUCUAAUUUUUAAAAUUUAAGGGAUCUUAUUGGAUCAAAGAUUUGAGAGGGUUUCAAUUUUUUUCCAAAUCCCUUCUUAUUGUAUCUAGCAUUUGUAAAUUCUUUAUGAAAUUCAAUUUUAUUGAAUUAGUCAUUUGUAUAAGUUCUCUCAAAUUCCAGCUUAUUUAAAGAUAUGGAUUUGUCAAAGAAAUCUAUC
rnacentral:lncRNA from 1 species